rnacentral:rRNA from 1 species
GAUGAACGCUGGCGGCGUGCCUAAUACAUGCAAGUCGAGCGAACAGACGAGGAGCUUGCUCCUUCGACGUUAGCGGCGGACGGGUGCUUAACACGUAGGUAACCUACCUAUAAGACUGGGAUAACUUCGGGAAACCGGAGCUACUACCGGAUAAUAUUUCGAACCGCAUGGUUCGAUAGUGAAAGAUGGCUUUGCUAUCACUUAUAGAUGGACCUGCGCCGUAUUAGCUAGUUGGUAAGGUAACGGCUUACCAAGGCAGCGAGACGUAGCCGACCUGAGAGGGUGGUUGGACAGCUUGGAAGAGAGACAGGGUCGCGACUCCGACGGGGGGAAGCGGUAGAGAAUCUUACGCGAGGGGGGAGAGCGUGACGGAGCAACGCCGCGUGAGUGAUGAUGGUCUUCGGAUGGGUGAGCUCUGUAAGUAGGAGAGAAGAAAAGUGUAAGUAACUGGGCAGAUAUUGACGGUACCUGAUGAGAAAGCCACGGCUAACUCCGUG